AAGAUUAAGCCAUGCAUGUCUAAGUAUAAGCAACUAUACGGUGAAACUGCGAAUGGCUCAUUAAAUCAGUUAUCGUUUAUUUGAUAGUACUUCACUACAUGGACAACUGUGGUAAUUCUAGAGCUAAUACAUGCUAAAAACCCCGACUUCGGAAGGGGUGUAUUUAUUAGAUAAAAAACCAAUGCCCUCCGGGGCUCCUUGGUGAAUCAUAAUAACUUAACGAAUCGCAUGGCCUUGUGCCGGCGAUGGUUCAUUCAAAUUUCUGCCCUAUCAACUUUCGAUGGUAGGAUAGUGGCCUACCAUGGUCUCAACGGGUAACGGGGAAUUAGGGUUCGACUCCGGAGAGGGAGCCUGAGAAACGGCUACCACAUCCAAGGAAGGCAGCAGGCGCGCAAAUUACCCAAUCCCGACACGGGGAGGUAGUGACAAUAAAUACUGAUACAGGGCUCUUUCGGGUCUUGUAAUUGGAAUGAGUACAAUUAAAUCCCUAACGAGAACAUUGAG
rnacentral:rRNA from 1 species